GGGGGGUUAGGAAAGUGGUCUAAUCCGCCAGAUUUAGGCUCUGGUCUCGAAAGAGGCGUGGGUUCGAACCCCACACCCCUCA